rnacentral:lncRNA from 1 species
UGGUAGCACAUUAUUUUAUUUAAAGAGAAAAGAAGCUUAAAAGUAUAAGACAUUAUAUGAGAAAGGACAAUUGGUCUUACCUGAAGUGGCGUUUUAAUAGGUUGCUGAUGAGUCGAAUGGGGCGCAUCCUGAACAUCUUGUAAACUAUCCAGAGAUUGGGGAAUCUGAGAUCCAACACUGGCCUCUACAACUUGUGGCCUUUUGUUUGGAACUACAAAGAUUGAGUAAAGUCCUUGAAAUCACUGCUCUGCUGGAGGGUACCAAUGGCCCCCAUGUUUAGUAGGUGAGGCAUGCAAGCCUCAACUGCUGCUCAACUCUCUGGGUGCUUUGGAAUUGGAGAUGGAAUGAAGCUGGAUGGGGGACUUGCAUUAAGUUUUAUGCCGGGGGGGGAGGGGGAAGGGGGACAGGGACGACGAACUGCUCCAUCAAGGCAGGAGGAAAAAACUGAGGAGAUUCAGCCUGCCUCCCACAAUUCUUUGCUCCUGCCUCAGUCACGUGGUGAGAAAUUACCCAAUCCAGUGGCUUCAUCGUCCACCAUAGUAAAUCAGUCUUUAGCACCCAUGCCAUUCUUCGCUCAGUCCCUAACAAACUGGGUGGUGUCCUAGUCAUUUUCAAUCCUCAUCCUACUUAUUAUGCCAAUAACUCAUCUAUCAAAACAACGCACCUACUGCUAGCGUCCACUGUCCCAGAUACUAUUCUGACUUUUAAUCUCAGACAUCACCAUUUUAACAUAAAUUGGGGGCCAACCCAGAGAACACCCAUUCAUUAUUAUCGGCCAAUUAGUUUCAACAUUCUACUUCACAAUCUUUCUUCUCCUCAUACCUAUAGCCAUUAUAAUAAAAAACAAACUCCUUAAAUGAUAACCAGCCCAAUAGCUUAAAUAACCUAAAGCACUGGUCUUGUAAGUCAGAAAUGAGAACUCACCAUCCUAGGUCAUCAAAAGAGAAGGCCAAAACCCCUCAUUGCCAGCCCUCAAAACUAGCAUUUUUAUUAAACUAUCUUCUGUUCCAUUCCACCCAGCCACCCCAAGCAGUUUUUUUGCCUCCUCCACCCAAGCACGAAUAAUUUUUUGCAGUCAACCCCUCACUUGGCUGGCUAUCCCACCAUUGGUUAUGGUUCUUGGGGGACUUGGAACCAGCAGCGCUUGGGAAACGCUGGGAACCCUGUCUAGCAUAGAAUCUAGUGGCUACGUAAUUUUUUCUUUAUUUCUUUCAUACCUGUUUAUUCCUAGGUAUAGUUCAAAUUAAGGAUGGAAAAUGUAUAUGGAUGUAUGCAAAAAAGAACUUGAUAAUAAUAAAAAAAUAGAAUCUAGGCUUAAACCUCUGUGGUCUAAACCUAAAGUCCCUUUGCUUGAAUUGGUUACGAAAGGCGCAAAAGGACUGGGGAGUAACGCCUGGCAUACCUCCUAUGCUCCUUCUGACUCAUCAGCCAGGGGCGGGUGCAGUAGGUGCGGUCUGCCCCAGGUGUCCCCACUGAGGGGGGUGACAAAAUGGUGGGUGGCAUUCACCGCGGGGCCUGCAGCGCACCUGAGCCACACGCCCCUCCUGGGAGUGACGCGGUGGCUUGGGCACCCGCACGCUCCGCGCUGAGUGGGAGGAGGCAGGCAGACUCCUCAGUGACCCCGCGGUGCCCAUGUGGGUGGGUGCCCGCACCCCCGGGCACAGGGCACGCGUGCCGUCGCAGUCACCCGAUCAGCUUGCUCCGCCACUGUCAUCAGCACCUUUCUUUUAUCUUUAGAUGCAAUAAGCACAUCCUUCAGGGACCCAUCCCCAAACCAGUGACUCCCCUCACAAAUGGGACAGUGGCCAAGUUGACUUCUGAUACUGCAUCCGCCCACCAAUUUUUUAACCACAUAGUGUGGCGUGCCUCGACUUGAGCCAACAUUGCCCUGGCAGAAAACUGAGGCACACCCAAGGUAGCAUGAGCCAUAAAGGCUUGCGCCUUCAUGGAUAAGAUGGAUUGUUUCAAGAAGUGGCAGAGAGACAUCUCUAGAUUUGUCUGGCAGGGCAAGAAGCCUAGAAUAAAAUUUAAAAUAUUAACGGAUGCAAAGGAAAGAGGCGGAUUUGCCCUGCCAGACCUUAAACUUUAUUAUGAAUCAGCAGCUUUUUGCUGGUUGAAAGAAUGGCUGCUCCUUGAAAACACAGACAUCUUGGAUUUAGAAGGCUUUAAUAAUGUAUUCGGAUGGCAUGCAUACUUAUGGUAUGAUAAGGUCAAAGCACAUAAAGCAUUUAAAAACCAUAUUGUCAGGAAAGCAUUGUUUAAUGUCUGGAUAAGAUAUAAGGAUUUAUUUGAAAAUAAAACCCCAAGGUGGCUGUCACCGAUGGAAGCGAAGGCUCAGAAAAAGCUCAAUAUGGAGGUCAAAUGGUCGAAAUAUUGGGAAAUUUUGGAACAAGAGGGAGACAAAUUGAAA